rnacentral:rRNA from 1 species
CCCUGUAUUCGGAAUAACCACCGAAAGGUGAGCUAAUACCGGAUACGUUUAUCUUGAUGCGAAUGAUGAUAAGAAAGGUGGCCUCUUCAUGAAAGCUACUGUACAGGGACGAGCUUGCGUACCAUUAGCUAGUUGGUAGGGUAAUGGCCUACCAAGGCGACGAUGGUUAGCGGGUCUGAGAGGAUGAUCCGCCACACUGGAACUGGAACACGGACCAGACUCCUACGGGAGGCAGCAGUGAGGAAUAUUGCGCAAUGGGGGCAACCCUGACGCAGCGACGCCGCGUGGAUGAUGAAGGCCCUUGGGUCGUAAAAUCCUGUCAGAUGGAAAGAAAUGUAUAUGUGCUAACAUCGCAUAUAUUUGACGGUACCAUCAAAGGAAGCACCGGCUAACUCCGUGCCAGCAGCCGCGGUAA